rnacentral:sRNA from 1 species
CUGCUGCGGGCAAAUGUAAUGGACGUGGGUGUCGUGGCCGCCAGCGGUGAGAAUCAGGUGCUCGCCGGUGAUGGCGUCGGUGGCGGUUCCGGUCGUAAGGCCCGGCGUCACGCCAUCCAUCGUGCUCGGAUUUCCCGCCUUGCCGAUGCCAACAAUCUUACCGUUGCGAAUACCAACGUCAGCCUUGACGACGCCGAGGAUCGGGUCGAGGAUCGUCACGUUGGUGAUGACCAUGUCGAGACAGCCGGCUUCCUGUGUGAGCUGGUUGUCGGAGCCCAUCCCGUCGCGC